UACGAAGGGUGCAAGCGUUACUCGGAAUUACUGGGCGUAAAGCGUGCGUAGGUGGUUUGUUAAGUCUGAUGUGAAAGCCCUGGGCUCAACCUGGGAAUUGCAUUGGAUACUGGCAGGCUAGAGUGCGGUAGAGGGUAGUGGAAUUCCCGGUGUAGCAGUGAAAUGCGUAGAGAUCGGGAGGAACAUCUGUGGCGAAGGCGGCAACCUGGUCCUUGACUGACGUUGAGGGACGAAGGCUUGGGUAGCGAUUAGG
rnacentral:rRNA from 1 species